rnacentral:lncRNA from 1 species
AGCGGGUGGGGUUGGAUUGCUGUGGCUUGUGUAUUUGAAGUGUUUCAAGAAACGCUCAGACCAUGAAAAGGUUGAAAAAAAGGAUGAGGAUGGAUUCUAACUCCCUCACAUACCUGGUCUUCAUGAAGUUGUCCUGCAUGAAAUCCAAGUGAAGAAUCCUGCAAAUAUAUAUACGCACUUCCCAGAACCCGGCAAGAGGCGGACUGAUUUCCCGCAACAAAUUCCUCCAGUCAGAACCAAUGUUGCUUUAAAAACACGAGCUUAAUUUAGAAAAACUCCUUUCUAGCAGUCUCUAACUUUUUUCCCAUUCUGUACUCUAAAACAGAUCUGUCAUCGUCACAUAAGUAAGGUUGAUUUCACGUUUAUAAAGUGUAUGCUUGUCAUUUCUUAAUUUUUAACACUGUUAAUACAGUGAUCACUCUUCCUGAGAACAUCUAAGGAUUCAUGACAAAAAAAGUGCACUGACUGUCCCUUAGCUUACCGAUUUAGUCGAGGGCUGCGUUUAGCAUGAAUAUUUAUGUAGAAAGUCAAUCAAAUUUAAAAGAGAUGAAUGUCUGAAUUUGUAACUAUUUCAUAGUAUUUGGGAAUCCACAUUGUUCAAACAAAACCAAAUGUUGUACAAUGC